ensembl:lncRNA
UUGCAGCUUCCAGAGACACCUCCAUUUCUUGGCUUGAGGCUCUCUUCCUCCGUCUUCAAGGCCGACAAGGUCACGUCUCUCUGGUCUUGCCAGGAAGGAGCCUCUGCUUUGAAGGACCUGUGUGGUCAGAGGGGGCCUUCGCAGACACUGCGGUGGCCCUUCACCUCAGUCCCACCAGCAGAGUCCCUUUGCUGUGAGGCGGUGUGUUCCCAGGCCCCGGGGUUGGCUGUGAGUGUCGAGGGGCCGCUGCCCCGUCCCCGAGGCCCGUGUCAUGCCACCUGCCCCACACGUUGGCCCCGCGUUCUGCUUCCUCCUCCACCCGGGCCAGCCCGUUUCACAGAUUGGACCUGGCAUUCGGGAAGGGUGGCUAGGGUGAAGGACAGGAGGGGCCUGGCUUGAUGAGAACGGUCUUACCACACCUGUCUACCCUCUCCAAGCCCCUGAUGGUCCACGCUGGCAUCAGCCUGUAAUUCUCUGCCUCUGGGAAGUGCUUUACCUCCUUCUGCUAAACUCCCGGGUGGGGUGGCGGGGAAACUUUUGUACCUAAAGGCAGAUGCUGGCUGCAGGGUUGGAGGAAGCAAGAUAGGAUGUGAUCCUCGAACACCCUCGAGUGGUGUGAGAGGUAGGGAAGGCCUGCAGACACUCGUGGGCACCGGGAAGGCCCGUGCUGCACUGGGCAAUCCCCCAGGUCUCUUCACCGUCAUAAAAGGCCUCCGGGGGAGGCGGUCUAGCCUCCCGCUGACCUCAGAGAAGUAAAAUGAAGAAAACUCAGCCUCAGAGAAGUAAAAUGACUCUCCCAAGGCCUCAUGACUAAGCAGAGGUCGAUCUGAUUUGGAUCUCCUGCUUCCAAGUUUAGAGCUUCUUAAAAAAACCCACCAAAGAUAAGGAAGGGAAAAGAGGGGUCAGGCACGGAGACAGCGGGCUUCCUCUCCACUGGGCACAUUUCCGUUUCUGUGGAAUGGCGGUGGCUGUCCUCGGCCUUGGGGGUGUUGAGUGCCGUGAGACGGUGGACUGGGACGCCACGUCGGGCCGAGUGACUUGGCUCACAUCUGUGUCCCGCCCUCUGGUGGGCUGCCCUCCCGGGAGGGCUCAGGAAAACCCAGGUUUGAAGCUGGGACUGUGGUCUAGGCUGAAACCACAUUCCUGCUCCGCUUGAGGCCUCUGGGUUGGUAAACAAUAACAGAAAAUGUGGGGUUUUCCUCUGAGGGGGUUGGAGACAGGAAAUGCGGAGGUCUGUGAGUGACGGGUGGGUAGAGCUGGUGGGCAGAGCAGGUCCCAGGCUGCUCAAAGUGUGAAGGAAACAGCUCUUCAAGGGACAAGGGUGGAGCUGGUGAGGCCGGGGAAAGUAGCUGUCUCCCGCAAACCUGCCGGGCCUUCUCCAGGCGGCGGGAGGUGGCUUAGGGGGGCGGCCUCUGUAACCCUCAGACUUCCUUUAGUGGCUCAGCGGUCAAGAAUCCGCUUGUAAUGCUGUAGACACAGGUUCGAUCCCUAGGUCAAGAAGAUACCUUGGAGGAAGAAAUGGCAACCCACACCUGUAUUCUUGCCUGGAAAAUCCCAUAGACCGAGGAGCCCGGCAGACUACAGCCCAUAGGGUCGCAAAGAGUCUGACGCGACUGAGCGUGCAUGUGCCCUCAGCCCUGUGGAUACAGCCCCUUCCAGGCUCUGUCUCUUGAAGCCCACAUGCAGUGCCCACCCCGCAAGAGGGAGACUGGCCGAGCUGGGGAGUAGUCGUUCUUUGGAAGGGACCCCAGGCUCCGGUGGGGCCUUUUCAGUGAAUUUGUCUUCCUUUCCCUGCACUCAGUCAGACCCAGCAUACUAAGUCACCAAAUGAACACCCAGGCCUUUCUACCUGCACUCUGCUUUAGUGCAAAAACCAAGUGUAAGACCCAGUGUCUGCCCGAAUGCCAGU